rnacentral:rRNA from 1 species
AGUGAACGCUGGCGGUAGGCCUAACACAUGCAAGUCGAACGGCAGCACAGUAAGAGCUUGCUCUUACGGGUGGCGAGUGGCGGACGGGUGAGGAAUACAUCGGAAUCUACUUUUUCGUGGGGGAUAACGUAGGGAAACUUACGCUAAUACCGCAUACGACCUACGGGUGAAAGCAGGGGAUCUUCGGACCUUGCGCGAUUGAAUGAGCCGAUGUCGGAUUAGCUAGUUGGCGGGGUAAAGGCCCACCAAGGCGACGAUCCGUAGCUGGUCUGAGAGGAUGAUCAGCCACACUGGAACUGAGACACGGGCCAGACUCCUACGGGAGGCAGCAGUGGGGAAUAUUGGACAAAGGGCGCAAGCCUGAUCCAGCCAUACCGCGUGGGUGAAGAAGGCCUUCGGGUUGUAAAGCCCCUUUGUUGGGAAAGAAAAGCAGCAGGUUAAUACCCCGCUGUUCUGACGGUACCCAAAGAAUAAGCACCGGCUAACUUCGUG